rnacentral:rRNA from 1 species
GACGAACGCUGGCGGCGUGCCUAAUACAUGCAAGUCGAACGCAGGGGGGACGGGUGAGGAAAACGUGGGUAACCUCCCAUCAGAGGGGAUAACACUUGGAAACAGGUGCUAAACCGCUACUGAUGGAUGGACCCGCGGGGCAUUAGCUAGUUGGUGGGGUAACGGCUCACCAAGGCCACGAUGCAUAGCCGGCCUGAGAGGGUGAUCGGCCACACUGGGACUGAGACACGGCCCAGACUCCUACGGGAGGCAGCAGUAGGGAAUCUUCGGCAAUGGACGAAAGUCUGACCGAGCAACGCCGCGUGAGUGAAGAAGGUUUUCGGGUCGUAAAGCACUGUCAUCAGGGAAGCGGUAUCUGACCAGGAAGCACCGGCUAACUCCGUGCCAGCAGCCGCGGUAAUAC